rfam:Myotis brandtii contig220982, whole genome shotgun sequence.
UGGCUGGUGGCUCAGUGGUUAGAGCACUGGCCCACACCGAAGGGUCUUGGGUUCAACUCCCAGUCAAGGGCAUGGACCUGGGUUGCAGGUUCAAUCCCUGCUGGGUCAG